GAUUAGCUCAGUGGUAGAGCGCCUGCCUUACACGCAGUAGGCCACCAGAUCGAAACUG
rnacentral:tRNA from 16 species